CUCAACUGAUAGAGUGAUAUAGUUCGUCUACUACUCUAUCUUCAUUCUUGCGAAUAGGAAGAAAGCUCGUUUCUGAAACUUCUAAUUCGUUACUGAUAAGGGCCUUCGCCUCUUGGAGCCUUAGGGUUAUGUAUGCAUUAAGUCUUUCGGAGGCAGGCGGCAUUGACACCGGAAGGUGGUCGGUUGGUUCCAAUUGGUGUGGGCUCUAGCAUUUGAUGGAUUAAUUAUUCCACAUCUUCACUCGCCACCCACUAUGUUUUUGGCCUUUCGCAAGGUCCAUGAAAACAUGAAAACCUUCAGGUGAUAUGGGGAUAACAAAAUAGAUGCAGGUAACUGGAGGAAGUAGACCCACCUCUUCACAUAUUGCUGUGGCUAUCAGGUAGUUAGAAAUCUCUAAUAGCUUCACUGGUAUAACUGAUGUUAAAAGUAUCUUCCUUUGUGCUAGAAUAUCUUAUUAUUGUUGUUCUCUUGUUCGGUCAGCUGGGUCUAAACACUGCCCGACUCACAGUCUUCAACAACUAAGCUAGCUGGUUUAUGUUUCUUUGAAGAAUAUAAUCGAGACUGAGUGAGGUGAUCCAACUUAUCCACUGACAAACUUGAUACAUAAUGAAGGUUAGAUAGGAGACCCAUCAAUAAACCUGAGCACCUAUCGAUCACUUUAAAACCGUGAGUGCAUUGGGGAGUGGAACAGUGUUUCAUUGGUGUAACCUUGAUUGCUGCCAGGUUUUUAAUAAUUGAAAAUAGAUGGAUUUUAGCAGUUGGAGGAGAGGAAGGGGACAGAAGUUGAGGAAGCAAGAUAUUUGGAUUAGGUUGUUAUAAACCAGGGGGAAAAUGCUUGGAUUGCUGGUUUUCAUAGGAUCAAUUCUGCUAUGAACUCUAAAAAGGAGAUCCCAAAAUAUGGAAGUAGGGUUCUGCACAUUUCACACUCACAACACCUUUAGCCACCAUUGAGUUUGAGGAAGCUCAUAUCUAUGGGAUUGAAAAGGAUAUCCCUAGAAAUAGAGAUCAUUUCUCGGUUUUUCUAUUCUUCUGACUGAAUUUUGUAUUUAGGAGUCCAUUCCAUAUUCGGAAAUCUAUUUUAGGCACUAGGGUAACUUGUUUUUCCAUUUUAAGCAUUAUGACAAGAGGCAUCUGAACAAAGCCAAAUAUGGGAACUAGGAAGUAUCACUCUCAUCCUUAACACAUAAUUAACAGCAAAUCACCAUGAAAUUAGCAAGAAAAAUAUACUCAUGCAUUGAUGGGAA